UACGGGGGGGGUAAGCGUUGUUCGGAAUUACUGGGCGUAAAGGGCUCGUAGGCGGCCAACUAAGUCAUACGUGAAAUCCCUCAGCUUAACUGGGGAACUGCGUGUGAUACUGGAUGGCUUGGAUUUGGGAGAGGGAUGCGGAAUUCCAGGUGUAGCGGUGAAAUGCGUAGAUAUCUGGAGGAACACCGGUGGCGAAGGCGGCAUCCUGGACCAAUAUUGACGCUGAGGAGCGAAAGCGUGGGGAGCAAACAGG
rnacentral:rRNA from 1 species